rnacentral:lncRNA from 11 species
CUGAACUUCACUACUCAUUGUCCUACAAGAACUUAUGCCACUUCAUAUUAUUCCACCUGCAACAGAAAAACCUAUCCAUGUCUAUUCAGAAGUUCUUCUGUCCUGAUCGUUCUCUUUUCAGGAAGAUUCCGGAAGAUUGGGAAUGAGGCCAUUUGGAUUCAUAAUUCAGAACCCUGAGUUCCGGAGAAUCUCCCCAAAAACAGAAGCAGGGGAAG